rnacentral:rRNA from 1 species
UACAGAGGGUGCAAGCGUUGUUCGGAAUUAUUGGGCGUAAAGCGCGUGUAGGCGGCUUUGUAAGUCGGGUGUAAAAGCCCUCAGCUCAACUGAGGAAGGGCGCCCGAAACUGCGAGGCUCGAGUACCGGAGAGGAUGGCGGAAUGCCCCAAGUAGAGGUGAAAUUCGUAGAUAUGCGGCGGAACACCGAUGGCGAAGGCAGCCCCCUGGGCUGAGAUUGACGCUCAGGCACGAAAGCGUGGGGAGCAAACAGG